rnacentral:rRNA from 1 species
GAGUGGCGCAAGGGUGCGCAACACGUAUGCAACCUACCCAGAACCGGGGCAUAGCUCCCCGAAAGGGGGAUUAACUUCCCAUAGGAAAAUAGAAUGGCAUCAUUUUAUUUUUAAACUACGGGGUUCUGGAUGGGCAUGCGAUUGAUUAGCUAGUUGGCGGGGUAACGGCCCACCAAGGCGAUGAUCGAUAGGGGACCUGAGAGGGUGAUCCCCCACACUGGCACUGAGAUACGGGCCAGACUCCUACGGGAGGCAGCAGUAGGGAAUAUUGGACAAUGGGUGAGAGCCUGAUCCAGCCAUGCCGCGUGCAGGAAGAAGGCCUUCUGGGUUGUAAACUGCUUUUGCCGGGGGAUAAAAGGCCCCUGCGGGGGACAUUGAAGGUACCCGGUGAAUAAGCCACGGCUAACUACGUGCCAGCAGCCGCGGUAAUACGUAGGUGGCAAGCGUUGUCCGGAUUUAUUGGGUUUAAAGGGUGCGUAGGCGGCCCUGUAAGUCAGUGGUGAAAUACGGCAGCUCAACUGUCGAGGUGCCAUUGAUACUGCGGGGCUUGAGUACAGUCGAGGUAGGCGGAAUUGACGGUGUAGCGGUGAAAUGCUUAGAUAUCGUCAAGAACACCGAUAGCGAAGGCAGCUUACUGGGCUGUAAC